GGGGCUGUAGCUCAGUGGUAGAGCACCUACCUUGCACGUCCGGGGCCCUGGGUUCCAUCCUCAGCACCACA
rnacentral:tRNA from 1 species